rnacentral:rRNA from 1 species
UGCCUAACACAUGCAAGUCGAACGAAGCAAUUAAAGGAAGUUUUCGGAUGGAAUUUGAUUGACUGAGUGGCGGACGGGUGAGUAACGCGUGGAUAACCUGCCUCACACUGGGGGAUAACAGUUAGAAAUGACUGCUAAUACCGCAUAAGCGCACAGUACCGCAUGGUACGGUGUGAAAAACUCCGGUGGUGUGAGAUGGAUCCGCGUCUGAUUAGCCAGUUGGCGGGGUAACGGCCCACCAAAGCGACGAUCAGUAGCCGACCUGAGAGGGUGACCGGCCACAUUGGGACUGAGACACGGCCCAAACUCCUACGGGAGGCAGCAGUGGGGAAUAUUGCACAAUGGGCGAAAGCCUGAUGCAGCGACGCCGCGUGAGUGAAGAAGUAUUUCGGUAUGUAAAGCUCUAUCAGCAGGGAAGAAAAUGACGGUACCUGACUAAGAAGCCCCGGCUAACUACGUGCCAGCAGCCGCGGUAAUACGUAGGGGGCAAGCGUUAUCCGGAUUUACUGGGUGUAAAGGGAGCGUAGACGGCGAAGCAAGUCUGAAGUGAAAACCCAGGGCUCAACCCUGGGACUGCUUUGGAAACUGUUUUGCUAGAGUGUCGGAGAGGUAAGUGGAAUUCCUAGUGUAGCGGUGAAAUGCGUAGAUAUUAGGAGGAACACCAGUGGCGAAGGCGGCUUACUGGACGAUAAC